UUAUGGCUAAUGGAUGUCACCACAUUUCGUUGUUGGGUUUGGCAUGAGCAUUGCAUUGUUCUUUCUCAUGAUUCUGCUUGUUUCAUGUAGGUGGGAUAAAUGCGGGAGAUGGUUCGGUGCACGACGGUAGUGACGAUGUUGAAGCCUUGGUUUCGGCAAGGAAGAGAUGCCCUCUUCAAAGGCACUGUGAUUUCUUCUCUGCCAUGGGAUCCGAAGAAUAGAAUGGGGUUCAAGAUGGAUUGAAUGUGGAGGACGUGUGUGUGAAGGUCAUGAUUCAAGCAAGGCUCUGUCAGUAGUGCCCCUUGAGGAGGAAUCAAGUUAUGUUGAUGAAGGUGAUGCAAUGCAUGAGUGUGGAUUUUGUCAUGCACUACUUUGGUUUAAUGAGAGGGUGAAGAAAGGUCCUCACAGAGGUCGAUUGCUGUUUUCACUAUGUUGCUCACAAGGGAAAGUGAUGCUACCUCCUGAUUCAUUACCGCCCUCAUAUUUGCAUGAUUUGUAUUUCAAUAGAGAACUACUUGAGUGCAAGCAAUUUUUAUCGAAUAUUUGGUCAUAUAAUAACAUGUUUUCUUUUACUUCAAUGGGUGGAAGAAUGAGGGUUUUCUCUGGAUCUGGUCCGUUCUCAUAUGUGUUAAGUAGUCAAAACUAUUAUUAGAUUGGAAGUUUUUUGCUAGUAAAAGGUUUAGCUCCAUUGUACUCUUAGUUGUAUGUGUAUGACACUGAACAUGAGGUGGCUAAUUGAAUGGCUGUUGUCAGGUAAUUCAUUUUGUCACUGCUUCUUGAUUUCAUUGCAUCAAUUGGAUUUUUUUUAGAUUUGUUUGUUUUCCAUUAUCAUUUUCUUGAUUAUACUGGUCAUGUUGCAUAGUGCAAAUGGUGAUGUGUCAAAUC